UGCUUGGAUUUAAUGGUACAGCACGUCGGC
rnacentral:piRNA from 1 species